rnacentral:rRNA from 1 species
UGCAGUCGAGCGGUAGAGAGAAGCUUGCUUCUCUUGAGAGCGGCGGACGGGUCAGUAAUGCCUAGGAAUCUGCCUGGUAGUGGGGGAUAACGUUCGGAAACGGACGCUAAUACCGCAUACGUCCUACGGGAGAAAGCAGGGGACCUUCGGGCCUUGCGCUAUCAGAUGAGCCUAGGUCGGAUUAGCUAGUUGGUGGGGUAAUGGCUCACCAAGGCGACGAUCCGUAACUGGUCUGAGAGGAUGAUCAGUCACACUGGAACUGAGACACGGUCCAGACUCCUACGGGAGGCAGCAGUGGGGAAUAUUGGACAAUGGGCGAAAGCCUGAUCCAGCCAUGCCGCGUGUGUGAAGAAGGUCUUCGGAUUGUAAAGCACUUUAAGUUGGGAGGGAGGGCAGUAAAUUAAUACUUUGCUGUUUUGACAUUACCGACAGAAUAAGCACCGGCUAACUCUGUGCCAGCAGCCGCGGUAAUACAGAGGGUGCAAGCGUUAAUCGGAAUUACUGGGCGUAAAGCGCGCGUAGGUGGUUAGUUAAGUUGGAUGUGAAAUCCCCGGGCUCAACCUGGGAACUGCAUUCAAAACUGACUGACUAGAGUAUGGUAGAGGGUGGUGGAAUUUCCUGUGUAGCGGUGAAAUGCGUAGAUAUAGGAAGGAACACCAGUGGCGAAGGCGACCACCUGGACUGAUACUGACACUGAGGUGCGAAAGCGUGGGGAGC